UACGAAGGGUGCGAGCGUUGUUCGGAAUUACUGGGCGUAAAGGGUUCGUAGGCGGGAGCUUAAGUCAUGUGUGAAAUCCCCAGGCUCAACCUGGGACGUGCACGUGAAACUGAGCUUCUUGAAUCUUGGAGAGGGUGAUGGAAUUGCUGGUGUAGGAGUGACAUCCGUAGAGAUCAGCAGGAACACCGGAGGCGAAGGCGAUCGCCUGGCCAAAGAUUGACGCUGAGGAACGAAAGCGUGGGGAGCAAACAGG
rnacentral:rRNA from 1 species